GUCCCAGGUGAUGUUCUCCUGGUGAUGUUCUACUAGGAUGUCCCAGGUGAUGUUCUCCUGGUGAUGUUCCACUAGGAUGUCCCAGGUGAUGUUCUCCUGGUGAUGUUCCCCUGGUGAUGUUCCACUAGGAUGUCCCAGGUGAUGUUCUCCUGGUGAUGUUCUACUAGGAUGUCCCAGGUGAUGUUCUACUGGUGAUGUUCCACUAGGAUGUCCCUGGUGAUGUUCUACUAGGAUGUCCCAGGUGAUGUUUUCCUGGUGAUGUUCCACUAGGAUGUCCCUAGUGAUGUUCUCCUGGUGAUGUUCUACUAAGAUGUCCCAGGUGAUGUUCUCCUGGUGAUGUUCUACUAGGAUUUCACAGGUGAUGUUCCACUAGGAUGUCCCUAGUGAUGUUCUCCUGGUGAUGUUCCACUAGGAUGUCCCAGGUGAUGUUCUCCUGGUGAUGUUCCACUGGGAUGUCCCUAGUGAUGUUCCACUAGAAUGUCCCUAGUGAUGUUCCACUAGGAUGUUCUUAUGAUGUCCCUAGUGAUGUUCUAGUAAUGUUCCAGAAUCAACCGAUUUGAGUGAUUUCUCCACGAUUGAUACCAUGUAAUCCUGGAUAUAUAUUUUCUCUAUAUUGUCUCUGUAAUGACGUAUUAGUUGCCUUAGAUUUUCUUCCUUAUAAUGCGCGUUCAGAGUGGCCGGGAACAUUUGAAUCUUCGGUGAAGUAAACAAUGUGUUC